rnacentral:misc_RNA from 1 species
GAUGAAGAACGCAGCGAAAUGCGAUAAGUAAUGUGAAUUGCAGAAUUCAGUGAAUCAUCGAAUCUUUGAACGCACAUUGCGCCCGCCAGUAUUCUGGUGAGCAUGCCUGUUCGAGCGUCAUUUCAACCAUCAAGCCCCAGGCUUGUGUUGGAGCCCUGCGGCUGCCGCAGCCUCCCAAAACCAGUGGCGGGCUCGCUAUCACACCGAGUGCAGUAGUUUACUCUUCGCUCAGGGCGUGUGGCGGGUGCUAGCCGUGAAACCCCCAACUUCUCAAGGUUGACCUCGGAUCAGGUAGGAAUACCCGCUGAACUUAAGCAUAUCAAUAAGCGGAGGA